AAGAGGGAACCCGGUGGGAAUCCGGGACUGUCCCGCAGCGGUGAGUGGGAACGAAAGCCGUCAACAGCACUGGGCCCGGAUCUGGAUGGGGCCGGGGAAGCGACGGCCGGUAGGCGCCCGCCGGAUCUCCGGUGAGCGAGCCCACGAGUCCGAAGACCU
rnacentral:ncRNA from 2 species